rnacentral:rRNA from 1 species
UACGGAGGGGGGCUAGCGUUGUUCGGAAUUACUGGGGCGUAAAGCGUACGUAGGCGGCUUUGUAAGUUAGAGGUGAAAGCCCGGGGCUCAACUCCGGAAUUGCCUUUAAGACUGCAUCGCUUGAAUCAUGGAGAGGUGAGUGGAAUUCCGAGUGUAGAGGUGAAAUUCGUAGAUAUUCGGAAGAACACCAGUGGCGAAGGCGACUCACUGGACAUGUAUUGACGCUGAGGUACGAAAAGCGUGGGGAGCAAACAGG